rnacentral:tRNA from 1 species
GCGUUCCUGACCGAGAGGGUGCGAUGACUCCGCCUGUGGUGCUGACGAUCGCCGGCUCGGACUCCGGCGGGGGCGCG